rnacentral:rRNA from 1 species
AGCAGCCGCGGUAAUUCCAGCUCCAAUAGCGUAUAUUAAAGUUGUUGCAGUUAAAAAGCUCGUAGUUGAAUUUCGAGACCGGUUUAUUGGUCGUGCUUUUGUACGUACUGGUAUAAUCGGUUUCUCUCUUCUGACGAACUAUAAUGCCAUUAAUUUGGUGUUAUGGGAAAUCAGGACUGUUACUUUGAAAAAUUAGAGUGUUUAAAGCAGGCUCACGCUUGAAUACAUUAGCAUGGAAUAACGGAAUAGGACGUUUGAUUCUAUUUUGUUGGUUUCUAGGAUCGACGUAAUGAUUAAUAGGGAUAGUUGGGGGCAUUAGUAUUCAAUUGUCAGAGGUGAAAUUCUUGGAUUUAUUGAAGACUAACUACUGCGAAAGCAUUUGCCAAGGAUGUUUUCAUUAAUCAAGAACGAAAGUUAGGGGAUCGAAGACGAUCAGAUACCGUCGUAGUCUUAACCAUAAACUAUGCCGACUAGGGAUCGGAUGAUGUUAAUUUUAAUGACUCA